ACUGCAGAGACAGAAGGAGAGACACACCUGAGACGAUCUCACACAGCCAGAGGAGCCCUCCAGCACCACAGACUCACACAGACCGGCCAUCAUGUCCGCCGCUGGAGCUCCCGAGUACGACCCUGAUGCAGAAUUUGUGUAUGGCAACAAAAUCCGCCAGUGUGGAAAGCCCCGGGUGAGUGUCCUGAUAUCAGACAAUGGAAUACAAAAAGAUGAGAUACAGGCUACAUCCUGAAUGAGAGGCAGUCCACAUCCAUCCGUCAUUGGUCAAGAAAUGAAAAUGUGGAAUAUAUAGGAUGUAAAUAUAUAAAUGGCAUUGUAACGGUCACUAUUUUUUAACAAGAGAAUAUUCUGUGAAUUCUAUUGUGAAUGUCCUGCCCUUCUGCCAUGUGUGUUCUAUCAAAGAAAGAUUGAAGAGGUUCACUUACCGUAGAGGACGGCUGGGCACUUGUAUGUUGUUGACUGUAAUUGUGUGAGACUGCCUUCCUUUUGUAUUGAUAAACUGUAGACCCAC